rnacentral:rRNA from 1 species
UACGUAGGGUGCGAGCGUUGUCCGGAAUUAUUGGGCGUAAAGAGCUUGUAGGCGGUUUGUCGCGUCUGCUGUGAAACUCAUCGAGCUCAACCUUGAGCUUGCAGUGGGGUACGGGCAGACUAGAGUGUGGUAGGGGAGACUGGAAUUCCUGGUGUAGCGGUGAAAUGCGCAGAUAUCAAGAGGAACACCGGUGGCGAAGGCGGCUCUCUGGAAAGAUUCCUGACUCGUGAAACACGAAAGCUAGGGGAGCAAACGGG